ACACUUACCUGGCAGGGGAGGUACCGUGAUGAAGAAGGCCGUUCACCCCGGCGAUCACUGACCCCAAAUCUCGACUGCAUCAUUUCUGGUAGUGGAGGACUGUUCGCACUCUCCAC
ensembl:snRNA U1 U1 spliceosomal RNA